AUUUAAUUAGUAUACAAUAGUACCUUUGACUUCCAAUCAAAAAGUCUAACAAUAGAUUAAAUA
rnacentral:tRNA from 1 species